GGGGUUCGCCCUUUGUCUGCACCCUUCCAAAAUGGCUGCGGCCAGGGCGGGCGGUGACAGCUGCGCGGGCGCUCCCGGGGCCCCGGCGGUCAGAGAGGAGCAGGAGUCCUGGCACGAAGGCGCUUUCGGGGCGGAGAGGUGCGCAGAGGACGCCGCGGACACGACGGGUCAGCUCCCCUGACUUACAGCGGCCGUCUUAUUGGACAUCGCUAUGGAUUUCGUCUUUCCUUUUUUUUUUUUUUUUUUUUGAAAAGGCCGAAAACAAAUUCCAGAUGGCAAAGCUUGUUGGGGACCUCAACGCAACUGACCUUCCUAGAAUCAUCGUCACCUCUGAAGAGACUUGCCACGGUCUGCACAGAUCCAGCACUGGGGAAUGAGGAAUUUGACACUGUAAUUUUUUUUUUUUCCUUUCGUGCCUUGAAAGAGACUCUUCCCACCAGCUUUUACUACCCACACACACCCUCCAUGCACUCGGAAGAUGAAGGCAGGAGGAAAAGGAGUUCAACCUUUGUUAUGCAUUUAGUUGGAGGCCAGCCUGGGGGUCUUGUGGGGCCCUGUAUCAAAAAGGUGAGGUGAGAACUAUUCUCUCAAAAGCAGAGUAUAAACUCUCAGCCUGUGUGCUGAUCCUGUCCCAGCCUUUUAAACUAAAUGAGUUAUAUAACUACUAUACAAACCCCACCCUACCCCAGCUGUCCUCUAAGCAAUAGUCUACCUAAGGAACUGUGCGCCUUGAAGCCAAAAAACAAAACAAACAAACAAACCCCACAGUGCCCUCACUUGCAAAGUGUGCUUGGGAAUCCUUAAAUAACAGAAAUUUUGUUCUUGAACAUCAGCCUCCAGAUUUGGAAAGCCAGUAAAAAGAAAGAGACAAUGAGGAAGCAGGUUGGGUGCUAGAAGCCAGUAUAGGCUUGACACACACUAGAAGGAACAGAAAUUCACAGUUGUAAAUAAAACCCACGAGUCUUCUUUUGACACAGGAGAACACGUUCAGGGCCAAGAGCAUCAUCCUGAGUGAGUGGGACACUACUUAGUCACAGCCCCCAGCCACAAGUCACAGAAUUCUUUACUCUUGAUAAUGGUUUGAAGAUUUUAAAGUGGACCAAAGGAUCAGAAGGUUCUUGCUAAUCCUCUUGAUGCCGGUUAAUGGGACCCACCAGUUAGGUGUACAGUAGCCUGUACCCCGAAGCCAUUAGGUGACAGGGAGCACAACAAUGAGAGCCAUAGCAAAGCCCAGGCUCUGGAGCUCACAGGCCUCUUGGUACCACGGUACACAGCCUCCUUCCAUUCUUAAGCAUCUGCUAAUGACACAGCCCCUGAGCCACCAAGACUUAAGUUACAGGUGCAGGGUUUAGGGUCUGUGCCCACCAGUCCCUUCAUUCCUUGCUGCAGAGCCCAGUGUGGGAGCCACACAUCUUUCAGGUAGCUGUUUUCAAGUGCAGAGCUCUUAAGACUGAAGUGGGUGGAGCUAAAAAGUCUCCUCCCCUCCUCAAAAUCUAUAUGCAAGGGGCAGUAGACACUAUUAAAGCCUUAACCUUUGUCACUCUGGAGACUGAAGAACAAAUUUUCUUUAAAUUGUCUCUCCCUUUGAUACAUUGCCAUAGGCCAUUAUGACUUUCAUAGUUUGAACUAGCAUUAAAAGAGAAAAGGAAGAAUCAUUAAAUAUAAAGUAUAAAUAAAACACCCAUUUUGUAGAAACAGGGGACAACCUUUUGCAAGUAGGUUCCUGCCACCAUAGGUUUAAGGGAUCAAAUUUUUAUCAGGCUAAUAUGGCAACUACUUUUAUCUGCUUAACCAUUUCACCAGCACAAGAUGUUUAAUUAAAAAAAAAAAAAAAAAAGGCAAAGCGGAGGGAUAAGGAGAUGGCUCGCUUGGUGAAAUGAUAGGAUAUGAGUUGAAUCCCAGUACCCACAUGAAAACACUGGGUAUAGCAGCAUGCAUCUGUAAUCCCAGCUAUGGGGAG
rnacentral:lncRNA from 1 species